UACAGAGGUCCCAAGCGUUGUUCGGAUUCACUGGGCGUAAAGGGUGCGUAGGCGGAUCGUUAAGUCGGGGGUGAAAUCCUGGAGCUCAACUCCAGAACUGCCUUCGAUACUGGCGAUCUUGAGUCCGGAAGAGGUGAGUGGAACUCCUAGUGUAGAGGUGGAAUUCGUAGAUAUUAGGAAGAACACCAGUGGCGAAGGCGGCUCACUGGUCCGGUACUGACGCUGAGGUG
rnacentral:rRNA from 1 species